rnacentral:rRNA from 1 species
ACAAGCGGUGGAGUAUGUGGUUAAUUCGAUGCAACGCGAAGAACCUUACCUGGUCUUGACAUCCCGGAGACCCUUAGGAAACUAGGGGGUGCUUCCAUCUGGAAGAAUCUGGAGACAGGUGCUGCAUGGCUGUCGUCAGCUCGUGUCGUGAGAUGUUGGGGUUAAGUCCCGCAACGAGCGCAACCCUUGCCUUUAGUUGCCAGCAGUUCGGCUGGGCACUCUAAAGGGACUGCCGGUGUUAAACCGGAGGAAGGUGGGGAUGACGUCAAGUCCUCAUGGCCUUUAUGACCAGGGCUACACACGUACUACAAUGGCCGAUACAAAGGGCAGCGACACUGCGAGGUGAAGCCAAUCCCGUAAAAUCGGUCUCAGUCCGGAUUGGAGUCUGCAACUCGACUCCAUGAAGUUGGAAUCGCUAGUAAUCGUGGAUCAGCAUGCCACGGUGAAUACGUUCCCGGGCCUU